UAACCAACCCGUGAAUCAUUUCCUCAUCGAGGAACAUCAUUAUUAUCAUCGAACCAAAACCAUAAAUAGAACCAUUGUAUCUAAGAUCAUCUGUAUCUCUAAUCAAAGAGGAUCCCAAGGCCGCUCAUAACCGUGAGCACGUCUGAUAUAUCAGUUUCAUUACCCUCUGUAGAGGUCGCACACUUUACCCAUGAGCCGUGAUUCCCGUUUUGCCCGGGGAUCAUGACUCCCCAUUGAUCACUUCCUAGGUGGUCCGGCAGGGUAUCACUACGUAGUUUUUACAAAGAUUCCCUAGAGGUCCUAGCCGCCCGUUAGGUUUCUCCAGUUUGAUAAACACAGUACCUCUCCCCGAAGGGGGUGACUAACAAAAGCAAAACGAAAGAACCUCGGCACCCAGCCUCGGCAGAGCAAGCACUGUGCCUGGACCCCAUUGACGGCACGACGGCGAAGCAACUACACCUCUAGUUCCUCUAAUUAAUUAGCUAAGGGCCUCCCAUUUCACCCUCAUGGUUGCACUGUUAUCCCGGGUGGUCUCUCAACGAACAGGUCCUUACGGAGAGGCACUCGAGAAACUGCUCGAGUCCCCUAAAUGCCACAAGUAUAUCAUCAUAUCCAGAAUAAAAUCAUAGUAUCAUCAUUGUAUCUCAUCAUGUUCAUUGAUUAAAGUAAAGCGCUAGCAUAUAGCUAACCAUAGUAACCCAAAAGGGUAAAUCAAGGACAAGGUAAAUAGAAAGCUAGUAAAUCCUUAGGUUGUUCAUAGUAUGCGGGAUAGUGUAUUAUAAAGUAAAUGGGACAUAAUGGGUCAGAGGACACUUGCCUUCACCAAACAGAUGCUCAGGAUCUUCAGCCUCGUAGAACUCGAAGAGUUCGAUCCGUUGGUCGCCAAGCUUGACUGUCGAUUCUUCGAAGCUCGGAAAUAGAUCGCAGUCUAUUCGCGACGCGCAACGAAUACAAACAGGCACAAACAAAUAUAUACUUACAUAAGAACAUUACAUCAUACAAGAUAAAAUAUUAUCAAAACAAGCAUUAUAAAAAUGAGAGAGCACUUCUACGUUUACGCGGGGAUAAGGAACGCGACGGUCGAAGCUACGGUCGAGAAGUUAUAACGUUUACGCCACACAAGUAAUAGUCAGGACAUUCAAUUAAAAUAUAACUUAUAACUUCUAUGUAGUUUUGAUUAAAUCUACCACACUAGCAGUUAUCAAACAAAUAACUAAUAUAAUUAGCACGAGGGAUUCUAAGCGAGGCGAAUUUACGACGCAUGAAACAAUACGAUAGCGUGCAGAUGACGCGCGAACACGCGUGACAUUGCACGCGAACGACGCACGAGACAGUGUGGGUGACCGGCGCGACCGACGUGCGAACCAGCACGUUACCACGUGCGAAACAGCACGCGCGACGGGCUAAAACUAAAUAGGUGACACAUUUGUACUAAACAAAUAUUAAAUACAUAAACAGUAGUUAAGUUAAUAUUUGUCAUGUUGAUAUUUAUUAUAAAAGCCCAAGUGGAACACUACACAUUUAAUCUAGUUAGAAUAUUAAAUAUUAGUCGAGCAAACCUUAAAUAAAUUAUUUAAAAUAUGUGACCCAACAGAUUAACAUUAUUAACAUGAGUGUUCUUAAACGAAAACAAUUUAUUAUCACGUGCAAACGCCACGUGACACACGUGAUCGACACGCGGCGAGGCAAGCGACACGGGCAAAUGGCGCACGCCGCGCAUACACACGACGUGUGACAACGCGUGCAAACGGCACGUGCGACACACGCAAAACAACGCGCACGAUACUGCGCGACACACACGAGUCAACGCGACUAUGCGCGCGAACAGCGCGAUAACGCACAAACGAUGUCGCGCGCGAACAACAAACAAAUAAUUAAUGAAAAGUAUUUCAGUUGGUAUUAAUCACGUUAAUUAACAUUUACAUUUAUAAAGCACGAGUUAAAACUAUAGACUCAUUCUAAUUGAAUUGUUAUUUUAUUAACACUCGAACAAACCAAUAAUUAAUUAUUCAACUAAAACAUGCGACACGACGACCACGAGCGCCACACGCGGGAACAACGUGCGCGACAACACGCGCACCAGACGCGCGGCACGAACGCGCAAACGAACAACGGUGACGCGGAAAACAGCGCGCGACUCGCGAAAUCAGCGCGACAUGCGAAACUACUAAACUACGUCGUUUUUCUUAUAUUAACCAAGUGUUAAAUAUAACCUUCAAGUCAGCAUCAACACGUUACCAGCUAUCUACAAACGCCUAAUUAAAAUUAUAAACUAGAUUCGAUUGAGCUGUUGUUUUAAUAACUGACAACUAAACAAUUAAUCAAGUGAUUAACAUGAACGAUAUGGCGAAGUGAUGUUAUUAAAGCGCGCAAAUAACGAUUUAUCGAGCGACGACAAAGCGAGCGAGCAGCACACGCUACACACGCGAACGACGCGCGCUAAACACGAUAAAAACUAAAUAGUCGUCGCAUUUAUAUUAAACAAAUAUUAGAGAAAAACAUUUGAGUUGCUAUUAAUUAUGUCGACAUGGAUUUAUAAAGCGUAAGUUAACUACUAUAAAUUAGUUUAAUUGAAAAGUCUAAUUAAUUAACGUUAGUUAAACAAAAAUAUUAUUAAUUAUUUAAAACACACGGCAUAGUGAAACAAGGUUACCAACGCAUAGACGAUGCUCACCUUGCAACGACGGCAGACGGCCAAACAAGCUAGUGGCGAGGCACGACAACGUGCUGCGCGCAUGACGCGAAGCGACGGCGAGGCGAGCCAACGACGAACGGCGAAACGCGGAUGCGGACAGUGAACGUCACGGCCGCAAUGGGGCACCAGGAGGCGGACGACGUCGAGGCUGCAACACGGACGCACUCAAUCAUGGAGGAGAGAGGAAGCGCUGACCGAGGAUCGCGGGAAAGGGAGCAGAGCUUGCUGGCCUUUCAUCAAGCACUUGGCGAGCGUCGAGGAUGCGAGUAUUGCACCGGUCUGCAGCACCGCCGCUGACCAAGGACAAAGGGGAAAAGCGCCUGUGCCAUGGGAGAGGGGCGAGUGAUUAGGAAGUAGCGAGGUUGCAGAGUCGGACCAUGGACUCGGAUAGCUCGCGGUCAGGAGCAGCCGAGGGAGGAACCGGAGGGGGCGCCGGCUCCUAGAGCUUGCAGCGUAUUGGGGAAAACUGUAGGGGGGGGCUCACCAUAUGGGGGAUGCAGGACCGCCUAGGAGAAGGGUGUUGGAUGAGCAGAAGCGAGUGCGUUCCCUGGAGGGUUGGCGGGGUAGUGCUACAGGGCCUAAGGCGAGAGGCCAAGCAACGUGGGGGAGAUGCCGGUUUCUCUGAUCGUGCAGCAUGCACUAAUUGGAGACGGUUGUGGAGAGGGAAGAGUGGAGGAAAUGACACAUGG
rnacentral:lncRNA from 1 species